rnacentral:rRNA from 1 species
UACGGAGGGUGCAAGCGUUAUCCGGAUUCACUGGGUUUAAAGGGUGUGUAGGCGGGCUUUUAAGUCAGCGGUGAAAUCUCCGGGCUCAACCCGGAAACUGCCAUUGAUACUAUUAGUCUUGAAUUUUGUUGAGGUAGGCGGAAUAAGUCAUGUAGCGGUGAAAUGCAUAGAUAUGACUUAGAACACCAAUUGCGAAGGCAGCUUGCUAAACAAAUAUUGACGCUGAGGCACGAAAGCGUGGGGAUCAAACAGG